rnacentral:rRNA from 1 species
UUAGGAAACCUUUACACUGCGCGAAAGCGCGAUAGGGGUAGUUCGAGUGCUCUCACUGAGAGCUUUUGCCAACCGUAAAUACGUUGGCGAAUAAGGGGGGGGUAAUAUACGUGCCAGCCGCCGCGGUAAUACGUAAUCCCCAAGUGGUACCCAUGAAUAUUGGGCCUAAAGCGUUCGUAGCCGGUUGAAUAAGUCCUUGGUGAAAUGGGCUCGCUUAACGAGUCCAAUGGCUAAGGAUACUGUUCGGCUAAGAGACUAGUAGAGGUGCAUGGAAUUACGGGGGUAACGGUGAAAUGUUGUGAUCCUCGUAGGACCACCGGUAGCGAAGGCGAUGCACCAGGAUAGAUCUGACGGUGAGGAACGAAAGCUGGGGGAGCGACCCGG